UAACUGGAGGCUUUUUAGGGAAUUAUUGGGACACUCUGCUAUCUGAGGAUUGUUAACCUUUUAUCUAUAUAAAGAUAAUGUAAAUUAAUUCACAAAAGGAGAACAGAUUUGGACUCCAGUAAAAAGUUUUUUCCCUGAGGUUUGCUCAAACUCUCCACUGAUUCCUGCAUGACCUGGAUGAUCACACAUCAUUUGAAGUAAUCUUACUGCUCAGUAUUCUAGAAUAUUAAAGGGAAGGUCGCCAACCAAUAUACUGUAAAUGAAGAAUUUUUAACCAAAAUAUAAAGUUCCAAAAUGUGUUGGGGCCCUUUUUUGCAGUAUUUUGAGGAACACCAUUCAAAUUAAAAGGCUGGUGGUAUUGUGUUUGACAAAUGAAAAAUAACUGCUUGGAAGAGCUAUAACUGACCACACAACUGUAUCCUUUGUGGAAGCCUGAUACUGGCUGAUAUUCCCCUUUAUUGGGAAUCAGUGACAGUUCAGCUGAAGGAUUGGAGGACAGGACAUCUCAUGUCAGUUAAAACAUGUUUUCUCAGUUCCUCUCUCCUUGCACCCUUUCCUUUCAUCCUACAUGGACUAAGAUGAAAGGAAGAGAUGUUAGUGAGGGAAAUGUGGAUGCAAUUAGGCCAAAGGGGGUUCACCUCAUGUCUGUCUUAGCAUAACAUUAAAGCCACAAUUUGCAUAAUGUGAGACACUGGCACUCUGGUUCCCCUCAGUGGUAGUUGGGAAAACAACACUUGCAGACAACAAUUCAUACUGUAAUGAAGCACCAAUAAUUAUAACCCUACCAAACAAACUAAUUAGCCUGGUUCCAGACCUCGGAAUAACCUACAAAACAUCUCCAGCUCAUUUAAAUAGGACCGGUGUGGUGCCCAGGUGAAAAAACUAUAAAGAAAUUUGUAGGUGAACUUAGGAAAAAAGAGGUUAUCUUCCUAAAUAGCUAGCAGCCUAUCCACCUAUAUCCAUAAAAACUGUGGUAUAAAAAUGGCCAUAAAAUUAAAUCUCAGCCCUUUCCGUUGGAAUCAGCUGUUCAGGUUGUCAACUUAUAGAAAUGACAACAUUUAAACUGACUUAUUUCUCUCACUGCUGUGAAUAAUGUUAAGGUAACAGCACUUAGUAGCUGCUACAGCAUGCAGGUGAGCAGGUGUAGGAAGAGGAUGGCCUCAUUCUUAAUCAUGUCUACAAAGCUCAAAAUUGCCCUGUUGCUUCUCCAGCCAAUUUUAACACAUAAUGCAAGACCUAUUUGAACCAGCGAACACAUCGGGUCCUGGGUUGAAAUGCUGAGGUCAGGAACCAGGUUAGAAAAAAACUAGCAAUGACUGACAAUCUUCUGACAACUAACAGUGCACACAAAUGGAUAAAUCAUUAACAGCUGUACACAGACAGCACAUUUUAUGGUUCUCAAAGUGCAAUAAUAAGAUGGUAAGGACAGCAUUAAGCCAUUAAUAUGACUCAAAGAUACAUUCCCAAGUUAGCUUAAUAGGAAGACAUACUGCUCACUCCACUUGCAUACAGAUUGGCCAAACAUUUAUAUUUCACUUACAAGGCUUUAAAGAUUAACAUGUACAUACUGUGCUCUAGCCAUCAUAACAUACAUUUCAAUAUGUGCAUGACUAAGUACCAUGUUACUGUUUAGGUGUACAGUAAUAAAUCCUCUGUUUGAGAUGAAUACAACUAGAGCAAGUGCCUUUAAAGCUGCACUCAUCAGUAAUUUUAACAAUUAUGACCCAACUUUGAAAUACUACAGAGCUUUUUAAAUCUUUCAGCUCAUUGUUUUGGUUUUGUUGUUCACAACUCUGUUGUAUCAUUUCCACAUUUUCAGCAGCAGGAAGGUUUACACCGAAAAAGGUUAUAUCCCAAGUAAAUGACCUGCCCAGCACCAAAUGUUAGUGCUGAAACACACACACGCACGAUUAAUGCAGUUUUAAAGGUUCUAUACAGGCAUAGCCCACCUAUAUGUGCACACUUUGCCAUCACGUUUUAAAAUGUUUGAUUCCUCUCGACUGUGUACAUGAACAAACUGCAUUAGACACCUCCCUUGCUCUUGUAUCGGUUUUUACACAUUUAAAUGUUUAAAAAUGUUACACAAGAAAAGUUGCAGUAGCAUAACUGUAUAGAAGUUGCAUUGUUUGUGGGAAGUAAAGAACACAAACGGUUUUGGAUAACUGAUACAUAACA